rnacentral:rRNA from 1 species
AACGAACGCUGGCGGCAUGCCUAACACAUGCAAGUCGAACGAUUGCCUUCGGGUGAUAGUGGCGCACGGGUGCGUAACGCGUGGGAAUCUGCCCUUAGGUUCGGAAUAACAGCUGGAAACGGCUGCUAAUACCGGAUGAUAUCGCGAGAUCAAAGAUUUAUCGCCUGAGGAUGAGCCCGCGUUGGAUUAGGUAGUUGGUGGGGUAAAGGCCUACCAAGCCGACGAUCCAUAGCUGGUCUGAGAGGAUGAUCAGCCACACUGGGACUGAGACACGGCCCAGACUCCUACGGGAGGAAGCAGUGGGGAAUAUUGGACAAUGGGCGCAAGCCUGAUCCAGCAAUGCCGCGUGAGUGAUGAAGGCCCUAGGGUUGUAAAGCUCUUUUACCCGGGAAGAUAAUGACUGUACCGGGAGAAUAAGCCCCGGCUAACUCCGUG